AUACUUACAGGGCAGGAGAGAUACCACGAUCAUGAAGAUGGUUUUCCCAGGGUAAGGCUCAUUCAUUGCCUUCCAGAUGUGCUGACCCCUGUGGUUUCUCCAAAUAUGAGAAAAUCUACAGCAUAAUGUGUGGUAGAGAGGGAAUGUGUUUGCACUUUCCCCUC
ensembl:snRNA U1 U1 spliceosomal RNA